GUCACUGCACGCGGGCAUCUGAUCCACCCUUUGCCUCUUGCAGGCACCGGGAUGGUAUCAGGUUGAGAAGAACCGCACGAACUUGAUCGUCUUCAUAGACGCGUAAGGAGAUGCAGAGACUAUCGAA
rnacentral:ncRNA from 1 species